rnacentral:rRNA from 1 species
UACGUAGGUGACAAGCGUUGUCCGGAUUUACUGGGCGUAAAGAGCGCGCAGGCGGUCGAUCAAGUCGAGUGUGAAAGCCCCCGGCUCAACUGGGGAGGGUCAUUCGAUACUGAUUGACUCGAAGGCAGGAGAGGGUAGUGGAAUUCCCGGUGUAGUGGUGAAAUGCGUAGAUAUCGGGAGGAACACCAGUGGCGAAGGCGACUACCUGGCCUGUUCUUGACGCUGAGGCGCGAAAGCUAGGGGAGCAAACGGGG